rnacentral:sRNA from 1 species
UGACCACUGCGGAUGUUCCGACAUUUGCAGUCAAGGCCAUACGGACAGCCGUGGUCAAAUGCCGA